rnacentral:lncRNA from 1 species
GAGAACUGCAUUAAAAGCCUUUAUUUUUAUGAUGAUUAUUCCUUAUGGAGUCCUAAAAAAUAUUUUCAUUUCUUCAUUUUAGUUCCUUCAGGACAGUCACUUAGUGGAUUCAUGUGGACACUUUGAGUAUUGAAUGGGAUGGACAUUAUUCUGAUGCACUGCAGAAUCGUACUGCUAAGUGAACAUCUAAAAUGCUUUCCUCAUUAGGACAGUUCCCUGAAAAGAAGCAGAAAAGUCUUGUGAUAACUUGACAUACACCUGAGAUGUAGCGAUGUUAAAGAACACUUCUCAGAGAAUCAUGAAGUCCUAUCAUCUCUCUGUAGUUUAGAAGGAAGUAGAAAACAAGAAGGCCUGUCUGAUGGAAACCUUAAAGGCACAAGAACAGGCUGUUCCUGAAUGCUGUAAGGCGAGCCGAAGGGGAAGAAGACCGGUGUGGAUGAAGCAGGAACUACUGUUGAUACUCUGGGAAGAAAAGGAGUCUAUUUCCUCCAGAAGAAGGGAUAGGCUACUUGGGGAGAUUACAAAGAAGUUGCUAAGAAACAGCUCAUAGCACACAAAGGAGGAGUUACCGGUCAGUUUUUGUGCUGGAAGAUCACCGUGGGGGUCCACAGGGAUGUAUUCAUCAGUGAAGUGAGAAAGAGAACGAAUGGUGAAGUGACACAGUUUGCUAAGUUAUUCACCAUAACAAAGACAUAGUGAAAGCAAGUGGCACUGGACUGAACAACAGAGAAGUCUUAUAAAUCUGUAAGUCACAAGUAAAUUGCUUAGCACCACUUUGGGCCUAAACUCUUGCAUCUUGACUGCUCUGCUCUUUUUAAUCCAGGAUAAGUUGAAGAAGAAACAAGACUAAGUUACAAACAAGCUUUUUAAGACAGGAUGAGCUUGCAUUCAUUGUAUGAGUUCGUGAGCUUGCAUAAGUGACACUGUGCUGUAGAAUGAUUCCAGACUUAUGAGGGAGCCAUUGAUUAUACAGCUCUUUUGGUUUUCUGAGUACUUUAAUGAUGCUUUGCUUUUUGAAGAAGCUGCAACUUAAAAUAAAGCCUGUUUUCGAUUUAUGCAGUUGUUACAUUUCCACCAUGGGAAUACAGAGCACCACAAGU